GACGAACGCUGGCGGCGUGCUUAACACAUGCAAGUCGUACGGUAAGGCCCUUUCGGGGGUACACGAGUGGCGAACGGGUGAGUAACACGGGAGUAACCUGCCCACAACUUUGGGAUAACGCUAGGAAACUGGUGCUAAUACUGGAUAUGUGCUCCUGCUGCAUGGUGGGGGUUGGAAAGCUCCGGCGGUUGUGGAUGGACUCGCGGCCUAUCAGCUUGUUGGUGGGGUAGUGGCCUACCAAGGCGGCGACGGGUAGCCGGCCUGAGAGGGUGACCGGCCACAUUGGGACUGAGAUACGGCCCAGACUCCUACGGGAGGCAGCAGUGGGGAAUAUUGCACAAUGGGCGCAAGCCUGAUGCAGCAACGCCGCGUGCGGGAUGACGGCCUUCGGGUUGUAAACCGCGUUCAGCAGGGACGAAGCUUUUUGUGACGGUACCUGCAGAAGAAGCACCGGCUAACUACGUG
rnacentral:rRNA from 1 species